rnacentral:tRNA from 1 species
GUUUUGAUAAUUUAUAUAAAAUAUUAUAUUGUGGCUAUAAAAAAGAAAAGUUCUCAAAGCA